rnacentral:tRNA from 1 species
GCCUGGCUGUCUCAGUUGGAAGAGCACAUGACUCUUGAUCUUGGGGUUGUGAGUUCGAGCCUCAUGUUGGGUA